UCUGCGCGUGCCGCGCCCACGGACUGUCCCUCGCCUUGCGCCUGCACAUCCCGCUCAGUCCCGUGCCGGCCCUGGCCUCGCCCUCACAGUGGAUGCCUGUCUUGUGCACGGAGUCGCCAUUUUGCCGCUAGAGAAGCUCUCAGGAGACCUGAACGCUCUUUCUUCAGUGGCCUAGCCUGCGACUGCGCCUGGACUGGGUCUGGGCCAGGAGGUGGUGACCUUUGAGGAUGUGGUCAUGAACUUCAGCAAUGAGGAGUGGAGUUUGCUGAGUCCAUACCAAAAGAACCUCUACAGAGAUGUGAUGGGUGAAACCUUUAGGAAUAUGACUGCAAUUGGAGGACUUGGGGAUAUCCAGGAAGCUGAAAAAGAAUGCAAAAUUUAAUGGAGAUACUUAAGGUAAUUCUUACUCACAAAGAGAAGGAAUGUUCCUGAGUAACUAGUGAGUCAGCAGAAAAAUGACUGCCAAAGAAAUGAGGCACCAUUGAAUCUAUUGUCAGUAAUAUUCUACGAAGACGUAGAAGCUAGGAAAUGAAAAGCUAGGGAAAUCCUGUGGUCAUACAUCUUGGAAUCAGUGUAAAGAAGUAUUCCCUUGUACUGCAGAAGGUAAUGUGAAUGUGAAAGAAGCAGAAACACACCACAAUGUUCAGAUCCAUGAAAAAUAUUGCAGUGGAGAGAAAUCCUAUGUAUGUCAGCAAUGUGGAAAAGGUUUCACCAAAUCUGGACAUUGUAAGGAACAUGAAAAAAUUCACACUGGCGAGAAACCUUAUGUAUGUAAGCAAUGUGGGAAAGCUUUUACCCAACAUGGAUGUUGUAAGCAACAUGAAAGAAUUCAUACUGGAGAGAAACCAUAUGUAUGUAAGCAAUGUGGGAAAGCUUUUAACACAUGGGCAGGUUGUAAAAAUCAUGAAAGGUUUCACACUGGUGAGAAACCAUAUGUAUGUAAGCAAUGUGGGAAAGCUUUUACUCAACAUGUACAUUGUAAGCAACAUGAAUGAAUUCACACCUGCGAGAAACCAUAUAUAUGUAAGCAACGUGGGAAAGCUUUUAACACAUGUACAAAUUUUAAGGUUCAUGAAAUAAUUCACACUGGAGAGAAACCCUAUGUAUGUAAGCAAUGUGGAAAAGCUUUUAACACACAUGCAAAUUUUAAGGUUCAUGAAAGAAUUCACACUGGAGAGAAAGCAUAUGUAUGUAAGCAAUGUGGGAAAGCUUUUAACACACGGGGACAUUUUAAGAAUCAUGAAAGAAUUCACACUGGAGAGAAACCAUAUGUAUGUAAGCAGUGUGGGAAAGCUUUUACCCAACAUGGACAUUGUAAGCGACAUGAAAGAAUUCACACUGGAGAGAAACCCUAUAUGUAACAAUGUGGGAAAUCUUUUACCCAACAUGGACAUUGUAAGCAACAAGAAAGUUCACACUCAAGAUAAAACCAGUGUAUAUAAGCAUCAUGAAAAUUUUUUGAGCACAAGUACAUAUUGCAUAAUGCAUGAAAAACUUCACACUGGGCAGAAACCUUAUAUAUGUAAGGAAUGUGGGAAAGGUUUCAGCAGAAAUGCUCAUUGUCCAGUACAUAAAAAAUUUACACUGCUGAGAAGCCCUGUUUAUGUGUAGAAUGUGGGAAACCUUUCACCACACAUGGAUUUUGCAAAAUACAUCAAUGACUCCACACUGGUGAGAAACAAUAUGCAUAUAACAAUGUGGCAAAGCUUUUAACACAUACAGUCAUUGCAAAACACAUGAAACAAUUCACACUGGGAUGAACCACUGGCUAUGUAAGGAAGUGGAGACACUUUCAGCAGCCAGAUUGUAAGUGAAAUACAUGAAGAAACUCACACAAGAGAUAAAUCCUAUGUGUUAUGGGAAUACUCUCAGCACACAUGAUCAUUGUUACAUAUCUGAAAGAGCUCACUGGAUCCUAUGUGUAUUAACAGUGUGAGAAAUAUGGCAAUCCAUGUUUGUUGUUAAAUACAUAGAAAAAGCAGCACUCUUUAGACAGUUUAGAUCUAAGUUUACUUUAAAAAUUCCAAGUAGACCUGAAGAAAUAAUCAAUACAGAAGUUUGAUGUUAAUAUUUCUUCACAGUUUUCCAGAAACAACAAAUCUGAAAUGCAGCUCUACUCAAGUACACAUUUUGUAUGGUUUUCAGUUAAUCAUUUAUACCUCUUUAGAUUUUUUAAUGUGUCUUUGUGCUUCAACAUGGCAUCUUGUAAUUAAACAUUUUAAACUGAAAUGGGCUUUUCACUUUCAAGUAUGGAUAGUGUCUAUGUACUUAAUAUAUUUUGUCUUUAAAACUUAAUUUUCAUAUUUUUGGUGAAUUAAUUUUAUUUAAAGAAAAAAAUCAAAAAGUGUAGAAAUACUACAGAAUUUCUGAAAAAUAAACAAUAAGAAAUCACUAGUUGAUUAGUUAUAUAUUGUCAUCUUAGAAGUAAUUGUUCAAGUUACAAAAUUAAGCAUACAAAGUGAUAUUCAAAUAAUGACACUGUGAACAGUUUACCUCAGUGAUCCAACAAAAACUUAUUAAUAUGCAUAUAUGUUCUAAAAACUUGUUUUUUAUCUUAAAUAUGGUAAGAUUAAACAUGACAAAACAAAACAGAACAGUUCAUAAGCAAACAAGUUAAGGAAACACAGGUUUCAAAGCAAGUCCACUGAGAUGUUCAUUGUCUAUCUUACUGUCUCUAGUUUUCUUCCAAAUAGUUGUUCCCAUCUUCACAAGCAUUGAAUAUAUACUUAACAUUAUAGAACUAAUCAAAUAAUUACAGGAUGAUGCAGGCUUUUUUGAUAUUCAAGACUGAUUUUGGGGAAGUUGAUAAUGCUUACCAUAAUGUGUCUCAUUCUCUUCAUAGUUGAUGUCUUUAUUUUUAUGUAUGCUGAAACUGAACAUAAGAGACUAAACUACUAUCACUCUGAACAGUGAAUAAUAGUAUCCUGAGAAGGAGAAAGGCGAGGAAUUGCCUAAAAAAGGAAGGCAGAGGACAUUGUUAAAAGUGUAUAAAGAUUUAAAAGCUACAGCAGUUCUGUUGCUCUGUUUGUUUUGAUUAUAUUUUGUUCUGGUCUGUCUACUCAUAUUAGAUUUGAGGGCACAGAGAGGUAACCCAAAAAUAGCAGGUUAUAACAUGAUGGUAACUGUCCUUAAUUUCCUAUUAAGUAAAACUGAAACCCUGUAUUACUUACAUUGUCUUACUAUGACUGAUCUUAUUGGAAGCUGGUUUGUUUGAAUGUAAUUUGGCCUUGACUGAUUUUAUUCACAUUUGGUAUGCUUGCUGGUAUCAAGUCCAAGAGUAGAGGCCACUAGUCUGAAGAUGAUAAUAUGUGAAAGAUAUAUAUUGGGGGGGCUGGGAUUUAGCUCAGUGGCUUAAGCACCUGACUGGAAAGUGUGAGGUCAUCACUCUGAUCCCCAGUACCAAAAAAUAAAUACAAGAUAUAAAUUCCAGGUUUAUUUUUUUAUUUAAAGAGAGAAAAAACAUAAAAAAACAAAGCAGUAAAGGGUACAAGUCAUACAGAAUCUCAAGAAAAAAAAUACAGUAAGAAAUCACUAGUUAAUAGGUUACAUAUUGUCUUCUUAGAAACAGUUGUCCAAAUUAUAAAAUUAAAGCAUAUAAAAUGAACAUUCCUACAGCAAGAUUGCAAACAGUUCCGUUCAAUGAUCCAACAAAGCUCAGUAAUGUGGUUUUCCUUCCUACACACUCAAACAGGCAAUUAUAUCUCUUAGACCACCUUCCUUUCCUCUCUUCUUCACAAUAACACACUUUUGGGUUUUUUUUUUAUUCCCAUAGUUGUUAUUACUCUUUUUGAAGAGAAUAAAAUCUCAAGUGAGUUAACAAAACAGAGUUGGUUAGAACAUAAGGAUGCGCAUAGUACUUGAUGCAAAAAUAGAAUAUCAGGUGAUCAAAAUGGUUACCAUUGUGCCUCUUGCUAUUUUUAAAAAGAGUUUCUAUAUCAUCAGGUAUAAUAGAAUUGAUCAAAACAGUACAGAACUAGAGCAAUAAAAUCUACACUGGAGACCUUACAGGAUUUCAAAAGAAGAUAAUAGUCAAACCAUAAUGGGCAUCAUAGUAAAUUUUAUUGCCUACAAAGUGGUUGCCUAUGCCCUCAAACUUGAUACUAUCAAACAAAAUAGAAUAUAGUAAAAUCAGGCAGAACAAGAUGGGGAGAGCAAUACUGGGGUUAAAAUCAGGUUAAUAGGAAAACAAAAAUGUUACUAUAAUAUAUCCCGCUAUUUUUUAAUUUAGUUUUCCUUUAAUUGAAAAAAAAUAAGAAAAAAUAGAAUAUUUUUUAAAAGGGUGGAGAUCGAGAAAAAAGAGACAUUGUAAUAGAACAACACAGGUCAGAACUGAACAAUUAAAGCAUCAUUUUGUUUCACCACCAUAUAAUCUAACAUAAUAUUAGUCGCCAUAGUGCCUCUUUCCUUGAAUUGUUUGAGUAUAAUUUCGUAUACUAUGGCAUCAAUCAUAUCAAGACAGUGUGAAGCCAUUCAAGAGAAUGAAAGAAUUACAGGGUAUUUAGAGCCAGUUAACAGAAAAUGAACAACAAUUUCUAUAUUAUCUCUUUGCCUUUGAAAAAUUUUAUUUAUACUAUCACAUACAGUAAAAUAUAUUAAGAUACAGCAUGUUAAAACCAGUGGAAACAUGUAUAACAGCUUGAUGGGAGUUCCAAAGAAGAUGAUAUUAAAUCAGCACUAGCUUUUAUGAUGUGUUAUUUUCUUCAGAAUAGCUAUUCGUACUAUCACCGAUAUUAAAUCGAAAAACCCAGGGUAAAACCAUUGCACUUAAUGAGUGAAAACAUUAUAUAGAUUCAAACCAAUAUGAUUGGGUAUCAUGAUUACCACAUACUUCUAUGUGUUAUCAUUUCUUAUACUAGGGAAUAUAUUUGGUAUUUAUACAUGUGAGUUUGAUUUAUUUCACUUAUGAGUAUGGUCUCAAGCUGUGCCCAUUUAUUUAUAUGUCAGUGUGAUCAAUCUUCAUAGCUGAGUAGUACUCCAUUGUAUAAAAACACCAUAACUUUUUUAUCCAUUCCUCAGUUGAUGGACACUUAGGUUGUUUCCAAGAUCUGGCUAUUACAAACUGUGCUGCUAUAAAAAUGGGUGCACAUAUAUCACUGUGGAAUGAUGCUUUAAGUUCUUCUGUGAAUAUGCCUAGAAGUAGAAUAGCUGGGUCAAAAGGUGCUUCCAGUCCCAGCUUUCUGAGAAAUUUCCAGACUGAUCUCCACAAUGGUUGCACCAGUCUACACUCCCACAAACAGUGCAGAAGAGUUCCUUUUUCCCAACAGCAUCUCCAAUAUUUGUUGUUGGUGGUUUUCUUGAUCUUGGCCAUUCUUUCAGGAGUGAGAUGAAAUCUCAGUGUGGUUUUAAUGUGCAUUUCUCUAAUGACCAUUGAUGGUGAACAUUUUUUCAUGUAUUUAUUUGUCAUUUGUAUUUCUUCAUCUCAAAAUUGUUUAUUCAUCUCAGAUGCUCAUUUUUGGAUUGGGUCUUUGAAUUUUGGUGGUCUCAUUUUUGAAAAUUCUUUAUGUGUUUUAGACAGAAGUCCUCUGGCUGAGGGGCAGUUCACUAAGAUUUUUUCCCAGUGUGUGGGUUUUCUUUUCACUAUACUGGAGAUUCCUUUUGAUGUGCAGAAACUUUUUAAUCAGAGGUGAUCCCAAUUAUUGAUUCUGGGAAGCAUUUCCCAUGCGAUUUGAGUCCUGUUCAUCAAUUCUCUACCUACUCCUAUGUCUUCAAGGUUUUUACCCAAUUUGUCUUCCAAUAGAUUGAGUGUUUCUGUUUUAAUAUUUAGACCUUUGAUCCAUUUAGAUUUUAUUUUAGUACAUGGUGAUAGGCAUGGGUCUAGUUUUAGUUUUAGGCAUAUGGAGAGCCAGUUUUUCACCACCAUUUAUUAAACAGAAUGUCAUUCUUCCAGUGAACAUGUUUGGCCCAUUUAUGAAAGAUAAUGUACUUGAGUGUGUUUGUAGUGGUGGUUGUAUCUUCUCAUCUAUUCCACUGAUAUUCGGCUUUGUUUUGUUUCCAGUACCAUGUUGAUUUUACUACAGUUGCUUUGUAGUAUAACUUCAAGUCAGGGAUUGUGGUACCUCCUGCCUUGCUUUUGCUGCUUCUAACUGUCUUUGCUAUUCUAGGUUUCUUCUCAUUCCAGAUGAAUUUUAGGGGUGAUUUCUCAAGUUCUAUGAGGUAUGUUGAUGGUAUUUUUAUCGGGAUUGCAUUGCAUCUGUAUAAAAGUUUUAGGAGAAUGGCCAUUUUCACAAUAUUUAUUCUUCCUAUCCAUGAGCAAGGGAUGUCUUUCCAUUUUCUGAGAUCAUCUUCAAUUUCAUUUUUCAGUGUGUUAUAAUUUUCCGUGUAUAGGGCUUUCACUUCUUUCAUGAGAGUAAUUCCUAAAUAUUUCAUUUUUUGGUUGCUAGUGUGAAGGGUGUGGCCUCACUUAUUUCUGUCUCUGUGACUUUGUUGUUAGUGUAUAGGAAUGCUAUUGAUUUUUUAGUAUUGAUUCUGUAUCCAGCUACAUUACUGAAUUUAUUUAUUAUAUCUAGGAGUCUUUCAAAGGAGCUUCGGGGAUCUUCUAUAUAAAGUAUCAUGUCAUCUGCAAAUAAUGAUAAUUUAACUUCUUCUUUUCCUAUCUUUACACCUUUUAUUUCUCUCUAUUGUCUAAUUGCUCUGCCCAGUAUUUCUAGUACUAUAUUAAAUAGGAGCUGUGAUAAGGGACAUCCUUGUCUUGUGCCUGAUUUUAAAGUAAAGGCCUUCAAUUUUUGACCAUUUAGUAUGGUACUGGGUGUUGUUUUUUCAUUGCUGGCCUUAAUUAUAUUGAGGUAAGGACCAUCUAUUCCAAUUUUCUGCAAGGUUCUUAUCAUAAAUGAAUGUUGGACCUUAUCAAAAGCUUUUUCUGCAUCUAUAGUAAUAAUCAUGUGAUUAUAACUUUUGGCUCUAUUGAUAUGGUGUAUUACAUUUAUUGAUUUACAUAUAUUAAACAAUCUCUACAUGCCUGGGUUGAAUCCCCCUUGGUCAUGAUAUAUGAUCUUCUUGUUGAUUUGCUGCAUCCUAUUUGCCAAUAUUUUAAUGAGAAAUUUUGCCUCCUUGUUCAUUAGGGAGAUUGGUCUGUAGUUCUCUUUUUCAGUUGGGUCCUCCUCUGGUUUUUGUACUAGAGUAAUAUUUGCUUCUAGGAACAAUUUAUGAAGGAUUGCUUCCCUUUCCAUUUCUUUGAAUAUUUUGCGCAGUGUUGGCAUUAGGUCUUCUUUAUAUUUCUUGUACAAUUUUUCAUUGAAUCCUUCUGGGCCUGGGCUCUUCUUUGUAGGUAAUGAUUUUAUUAUGUUUUCAAUUUCAUUAAUAUAA